rnacentral:ncRNA from 1 species
UCUUAUCAAGAAAGGUGGAGGGACAGGCCCUGCGAAACCUUGGCAACCUUUUCAUUGUUGAAAGCGGUGCCAAAUCCUGAUUCACCUAUGGUGAAUGAAGAUAAG